AGCAGCCACGGUAAUUCCAGCUCCAAUAGCGUAUAUUAAAGUUGUUGCAGUUAAAAAGCUCGUAGUUGAAUUUCGGGAUCAAUAUAUCGGUCAUGCUUAGGUAUGCACUGGUGUCACUGGUUUCUCCCUUCUGAAGAACCGUCAUGUCAUUAAGUUGGUGUGGCGGGGAAUCAGGACUGUUACUUUGAAAAAAUUAGAGUGUUUAAAGCAGGCUCGCGCUUGAAUACAUUAGCAUGGAAUAAUGAAGUAGGACGUUUGACCCUAUUUUGUUGGUUUCUAGGAUCGACGUAAUGAUUAAUAGGGAUAGUUGGGGGCAUUAGUAUUCAAUUGUCAGAGGUGAAAUUCUUGGAUUUAUUGAAGACUAACUACUGCGAAAGCAUUUGCCAAGGAUGUUUUCAUUAAUCAAGAACGAAAGUUAGGGGAUCGAAGACGAUCAGAUACCGUCGUAGUCUUAACCAUAAACUAUGCCGACUAGGGAUCGGAUGAUGUUAAUUUUUUAAUGACUCA
rnacentral:rRNA from 1 species